CCACAGCCUUCCUCACUACAUACAGUUGGGAUGCCCGACUCAUGUGGGGAUGUCCGGCAUUUUGACUUCACCGGUUCUGCUGUCAAAGUCGACCUGCCCUGCGCCUCGGUCGAGUGGAUGCAGUCCCGACAGGGCACAGAACGGCUGGCUAAACAAAAAAGUGAAUGGUUUUGUUUCUGCUGUGCUCAACGUUUGCUUUUUAAGGAGACACCCCCCCACACACACAUACAACACAAUGACAUGCACAGAGUAAGCCAUGCUAAAGCCAAAAUGGGGCUCUGCUCUGAAGGGAGCAGGGAAGCGAAAUUGCGGUCUUAACCCCACUGGAAGUUUCCGGUUGGAAAACGGAGGCGGUCCCAUUUGGAACCGCAGAAGGCAGCAGUCAAAAGUGCCUAAUUUCAGCUCUUGUUUCUGGUCUCCCCCUAGCCCACCAGGUUGAUUUUGAUGAUUCAGAGCUACUCUUUAUUUAAAUUAUCUACCGGAACGGGGCAACUUCCAGCUGCCUUUGGGAUUGGCUUAACAUGGGCCUGGCCACAGCUGGUUUUUAGGGUUGAAUGCCAGACAACACCAUCCUACAAUGAGAGGCAGCGGGAAGGCAGAAUCAAGCCUGGUUGGGGGCCCAGUUAUUUAAGUGUAAGCGUUCCUCGCUGAUCUCCAUGGGCCCUAAAAAGUGUUUCCGUUUAGCUGGCCUUUACCCUUUUUUCUUGGCUCCAAAGCAGCACCCCCCAACCCUAACCCCCCCCCCCCGCCCCCUGGGUUCAGUAGAGCUUCCUCCCAGGGAAGAUCUGCGCAAACUCCCUGUUGGCCGCCUGCACUUUGCAGAAGUCAACUGAAAGUUCUACACCUCGUUGCUGUUUUCAAGGCGCAAACAUCGGAGAGUUGUUACGAGCCCCCACUUGCCUAUUCCACCCUCUCUUGUACCUUUGUGUUUGCAGCCCAAGAAGUCAGAGCAGCAAGACCCAGGCAAAAGUUUGUUUGUUCCCCCCCCCCCCCAUCCUGCCUUGCUUGCAAUGGUUUGGGAAUUCUGACAGUCACCCUAUCCAAUGCAGGAAAUCUCCCAAGACCACUACGCUUCCUGCAGCCCAAGUAGUUUGCUGUAUCUUUAUUGUGGAUUGACCCACUGGAGGGAUUUUCUCUCCAAAGCGUGUUCCACUAGCACCAACGGUCUAGCUCCAGCAAUUUCAGGGGGGAAUUGCUGGUCAAGCGCCACUCAUUUCAGUGGGGGCUGAACGGGAGAAUUUCCUCCUGUGUCCUAACAUUGAAGGCAUAGCUCCGUCACUAACCACUAACAUAGCUGGAUAAAGUCUGUGCUUUCAUCCUGGGAGGGGCUUGCACGGCUAUAGAUGGCUGUCUUAAACCCCUCUAUGUCACACAGGUGCUGAGCACCUUUUGCAGUGAGGAUCUGCCCUUUUCCAGCGCGUGCGUCUUUUCUACUGGUUUUAAGUUCUGCAUUCUUUCCUCUCCCAGGCCUACUUUUAGUUGUUUGUUCAAAUUGAGCUGACUAAUCCAGUAGCUAAAUUUGUUUCGUUAACAGAAACCAAACGGCCGCUGUUGUUUUCAGUUCAGCCUUCUGACUGCUGUUAUUCAUUUGUUAAUAAAGCCUGUAUUAUUCUGUCAAAACAUAAUUUCUCUAUAAAA